CGGCACCAGGAUCUGCUCCGUCCUGUCUGCGAGCUGUGAGAACAUUAGCCCAUAAACCGUCCAUGCCGCCGGAUCCGCCCAGUACACCCACCGCCACCACACAGGCAUCAUCUGCAGCAAAUUUACUCAACUCGUCAGCCGAUUCAGAUGGGGGGUUACCUCUCUCACGAUUAUGAAGCCAGAGAAGACGUUCCAAAAGAUAAAGAUGAGGAACGACAGCCCCAUGGCGAUCUCGAUGUUGGGGGUCAGGGCCACCGUCAUCAUCCCGUAUAGAGUGUAGUACAUGAAGCUCAUCACCUGGUAUAGGAAGAACCAGAAGAAUUUGCUCGCUGUCACCUGGAACCCAAUCAUUGGGUACACGAUUGAUGAGAAGAUCAUCACUUGCACCAACAUGUAAGGUUGAUUGUUGAUGUGUUAUGUUACCUGAGCGAUAGCGUAUGCCAUGGUGGAGUACAUGCCUGCCGCCUUUUCACGGUAGAGCACAACUCUCUCCAUUGCCACAACCGGCUGUAGGAUGCUGCAAUUCAUGAAACCCAGGAACAAUGCCGAUCCAUAUACGAUUCCAAGUAUGUUUAAUACGUCUUGCUCAUCCUUGCUGUUGCACAAAGAAAUACAUGUUAGAUCUUGAUUGGGGCAUAAAAAAAUAAUUUAAUAGUCAUGAAAGAUAAUAAUAAUCCGAUUACAUGCUUGAGCCAAUUUUCCAGAAUACAAUUCCAAACAUGAUUGAAACAGCAAAAGUGUUAAUGAACCGGACAACAUUGUGUUCUGAGUUUUUCCAGUAUGCACAACUUUGCUUCCACAAACAUGCCACACAUUGUAUCGUAAAGUUUUGCCAAUAACCCUGAGGAAAAUACAGAGCAUCUGUGUUUGGUUCUGGUUGUUCCAAUUCAUCAAUUAGAACCCUGUUCUCCCUGCAGGUGCCACCAAGAAUUUCAUUAGAUUGACUUCCAUCUUAGGCCAUGUUCGUUUUUUCCAAAUCCAUGUGGAUUGAGGGGGGAAUAAAUCCACAGCUAGUCAAAAUCUACCUCAAUCCACCCCAAUACUCCUCAAUCCACAUGGUUUAAGUACAAAACGAGUAAGGCCUUAUUGUUUGUACCAACUAAAAUAAAGUUAUUCGCAGUUUUACGGCUGUACUAUUGGGUGCACCUGUACAGGGAGGAAUUGCAAUAAAUUUCUGCAUAGUCCACUCCAAUUUCAUAUUCUGUUAUGUGUGAACUGAUGUCUAACAUCCAUGUUGCUGGGUUUUGUCCCUUGUUUAUUUUAGGAACGCCUGGUAUGGCCUGUUACAAAGUAAUUUUCAGUAUUUUCUUCUCUCUGCAUCUUUCAAAUAUAAACGUCUAUCUUAGGCAAUCUUACCUCAAAAUAUUUUAUCAUGUUGCUAGAGAGUGGACCUACCGAACCACUGUAUAUGAGCUGGCCACCUCUUUUCAUAAGCAGAAGCUGAAAUGGAACAAAUUUAAUUUAAAACUUAGGAUGGUAAUUCCAUAGUGCCUAUACGUACUUGUAUAAAAGAAAGACCAGUUUAUCAUGUAGUUCUUUGAUUGUCUUCUACUUUAACUUACAACUGCAUUUUACAACUUCAUUCAUACUUCUGUACAUUUGUCCAAUUUGACUGCUGUUUAAGUUUGUCGAGAAUCAUGUUUGUUUUAAUUGUGUAAUUACCUUGACACCACUCCAGCAUUGGACUAUCAUGUUUCUCAAUUGCUUGUUGUGUCUAUGUUUUGUCCACUUAUAUGGCUAUACCAUCUAAACUUGUUCAUACCUCAUCAAAAGAUUCAAAAAUCUCAAUGCUUGGUUGAUGAAUUGUGCAGACAACAGUUCGUCCAGUGUCAACCGUCUUUCGUACUGUUCUCAUGACAAUAGCUGCAGCACGAGCAUCCAAGCCGGUGGUUGGCUCAUCCAUGAAUAUAAUGGAGGGACUGGCCACUAGCUCCACAGCUAUUGUUAGUCUUUUCCGCUGCUCGGCUGACAGGCCAGUUGCUCCUGGGAUGCCUACCAUGGCAUUUUUCAAGUCAGUGAUCUCAAUAAGGUUCAUGACUUCUUUGAUGAACAUCUGAAAUGUGUUUUAAGAGAAAUUUUGUGUCAGAAACUAGUUUCUAGGCUCCAGCAGGGAUAAAGAGGGGGUGAGGUUGAAACACAAUACACAUACGUCUCUUUGAUGAGGUUUAACAUUUGAAGGUAGACGAAGCCAUGCAGAAAAUUUCAGUGACUCAUAAACAGUGAGAUUAGGGGAAUGAAUGUCACUCUGUUCACAGUAACCUGAGAUCCUUGAGAAUGUAUCCUGCUUCUUAGGAUAGCCUGCUAUCUUAAUAGUCCCUUCGAUAUAUCCCCCAGUUUUCCUUCCAGCUAAUACAUCGAGCAAUGUUGUCUUGCCAGCGCCAGUUAUCCCCAUCAGAGCUGUUAGUACUCCUGGCCUAAAAGCACCACUGACAUCUUGUAGCAGCUGAAGCUUUUUCUUCGUUGCUCCAUUUUUUGUCAUCUCCUGGUGGGAUAUUUGUAUUCUUGUCUUCAGUAUGUGAUAGGAAUUAAUGAAGCUACCAGGUAAGAUCUUAAUAAGUGAACAAGAUAUUACCUUAGGCAUGUCAACAAAAUAUUGAAUAUGAUCAAAGACCAGGGAGAGGGGUCGAAAUGGGAGGAUAACUUGAUCAUUUGAUGAAUUGCCAUUUUCAGCCAUCUGCCUAUUGUACACGAAAUUCACUUUUGUGGUCUUGAUGUUAACUUGAUGCUUGUGUGGAGCUGCAAGCAGUAAACAAGCAGAUAAUUAUUUUUUCGUUUAAAUGCAAUAUUUAGGAGGUUUGUGAUAGAUUGGUAUACAUACAGCCGAUGAACUCCAAUGCAAAUAUGCUGAAGAUGUUGAAGACCAGCGAGUAUCCAAACAAAAUGGUGACACAAAUCCAGUACCAGUGCCACUCCAUGAGCAGCCCUCUGAUCUUGAGGAUAGCUUCACCGACGGUGUUUGCACCGUUAUAAUAAAAUUCCUACCAGAAACAAAAGAUCAAGAACCUUAUUGUAAUUAAUUUGAAAUAGGAUAUACUACCAUAUAGCAAUCACUUCCAAGUUUUGAAAUUAGUGCUUACUGAAUUCCAUCUUUUGUCAUGGAACUCAUUGAGGGCGAUCGCAUUCUGUGCAUAGGUGAACGGGGACGUCCAAUAUCCCCAGCGCAACCAUGGUUGGAGAUCAUCUGUUUCAGUUUGCAGAAUUGGUUAACAACUUGUUGCACAAACUUUUAGUAAAGAUUGUAUGUCUUGUACUCAUGCAUGUUUCAUGGUGUAUGCUAAGCUACAUUCAUCUAACCUUUUGAUAUGACGAAUCCUCCAAGUAUGUAGAUUGCAAUAAGAGCUGCAGUCCCUAGCAUGUUGGCCAUCACUUGCGUCCUUCCUAUGGCCGCUAAGAAGCGAUACAAGCCCAUUGACAUUUGAUGCAUGGCAAAAAGUACCAGAAAGUGCUGGAUGAACCUGCCAUAAGCAAUGUAAUUUCAUUUCUUGCUUUUACCUAUUGAAGCUGAAGCAUCAGAAGUCAUUCAGCAUGUAAGUACCAGGAGAUGAGUACCUGAUAGCAGAAGGUGCAUAUCCAAUCACAUAGUAGGUUAAGCCUGUCCAAAGGCCUGUCUCAACAAGCGAUAUUGGGAUGCUAAUAAGGUAAACUGAACAAAGGAGUGCCCAUCCUGGCAAUGCUAGUAGCUCUCUUUGCUUGUAGAAGGUGGGAAGCCGCUUUAUCGUCAUUGCAAUUUCAGUCAUCCCAUUGAAGUUUACUAUGACGACAGCCAUAAAAAGUGCUCCCAUGUACUUGUUGGCAUCAAGUACAGAAUUGUGACUCAUUUUUGUUCUCAGGAAAAGUGUGGAGAUCACCAAAGCCAUAACAGUUAUCUGAAUGGUCUUGAAUAUAUGGACCGGAGAGUUUCUUUUCAGCAGCAGCAGUUCCCUUGAAAAGCAUGCUUUGAAAAUAUUCCAUCUGGAUACUCGGCGACCUGCAUUCACUUUUACCUCCUUAUUCUUUCCAGUAUUGUUUGGACUGCACAGUUUGUCUUCUACUAGAAGAGGAAGAUAUGACGUGCGGAAGGAUUCUGCAAAAUUUUCAAUUGUAUGGUACUGAUACUUAUUUUGGUCACCAGUCCAGUAUUGCUUUUGGUCCAUCUUAGAGGUUACCUGGUCAGUGGCCAAUUGGAGAAAACUUGUUACAUUAUUUUGCAAAAGCACGUGUAUUGCAGAACAAUGACAUUUUAUGCUCAUGCAUAGAAUUGUAAGUCAUCUAUUGCCUGCUUAAUUUUGUGGAUCUGAUGUAUUAAUUAUCUCAAAGUUAGCCUUGAACACUAUACAUUUUGAGGAUCUGAUGUAUUAAUUAUCUCAAAGUUUAGCUAUUUAUUAUUGGCAGUUAGGCACAUUUGAUGGUUGAUUACCUCUUGAAGGAAAUCGGCUACAUUCUUCCUGUCAGGGCAUUUGAAUCCCAUGGUUUCGAACAAGUCCGUAGCAUUUUCUCGGGGACCAUGAUACACAAUUUGCCCCUCACAUAAAAGUAUAAUGUCGUCAAAUAAUUCCAAUGUCUCAGGCGGUGGUUGCAACAAGGAAAUUACCAUUGUGAGAUCCAUCAAAUGGGCCAUCUGUUGGAGAAACUUCAUGAUCUCAAAUGCCGUGGAGCUAUCAAGACCUGUUGAUAUAUCAUCCAUAAAGAAGCAUCUUGCCAGACCAACUAGCAUCUCCCCUGCAUUAAACAACUUCACUUUAGCGUAUGCCAACUUAGGUUAGGUUCCAGGCACGGGAAAGCAACAGGUCAAGAAGAAGCACUGAAGGAGCAGCAGGAUGGGGCAUCGGGAGAAGCUCACAUUCAAACUCACUAAGUGCGAAUCAUUAUCAUUAUUAUUUAUGUUACAUUUCGUAAACCAAACAGCACCUAAAGCCAGCCUCAUCAUGGUCAUGUGUUGUGUGCUCUGUGGUCUGCGCUGCUUCCUGCUCCUGCGAGGAAAUAGGAAUUUGAAGGUUUAAUGCUGGCCUAACAAGGGUCCUCACUGACUGGCUGCUAGUCUCUUCUGUCUUUGUACAUAUAAGACGAUAUGUAGCGGUUAUUCCUAAAUUUCUCUCCAUAUAUCCUACUUUUACGCCACAUCGUCAAGAUUUUGUCUCCUGUUUUUCA